GCUAGUUACACAGGUGGCUUAAAGCAAUCUGGUUAUAUAUUAGUUUUCAUGGAUAUAGCUAGAAGGUAAUCAAAUUAUAAAUAUGUUAAUUUGCAAGCACCCCUUUUAUCAAAUUUUUAAAAAGUAUUUUUUAAAUGUUAGUGUCCUUGGCUUAUGUACUGACACAGUUCAUGGAUGAAAUGCAGCAUUUUGUAUGUUGAACAUGCAGUGCAGUGUACUUCAAGCAGAUGUCUAAUACUCAAGGACACUCAUGUGUGUUUAAUCAGAAAGAUACUAUUUUAGUGUUAAAGAGCCUGUUUCAGUGGUUUUUCCUUGUUCUCAUUAAAUUGUAUCUUAAUGGAAGUAUUCAUAUACUGGAAUCUCUGCAGUAAGCUAAGCUGCUAUCAAACUAGUGCAAUGAGUGAUUCUGAUGUAAUGAGUUGUCAUGACAAUGGAUUCUAAGAAUGGCUCCAGGUAAAUAACCUUUUUAAUGAGUAGAGGCAGAAGCAAGGCACAAGCUCACUGAAUGCUGUGUUGGUUCUGAUUUAAUCUCUUCUACAUUUAACCUACUAACAGCACAUAUUUACUAAUAUUUGAACAUGGUGCUAUUACAAUACUUCUGCAUGUAAUUUUUAAGCAUUUAGCUCAAUAAGAAAUUUAUUUUAAUGAUUCAUAAAGUUUUUUUUAUUGGUGUCCACAGAGCUAGAAUCUCUGUGACGCAAAAAGAGGGAAACCAUGCUAACAUAGUGCAUGCAUGUCUUGCUCAUUUAAGAGUUUAUUGACUGGAAAGAGUCAGCCAAGAGUUUUGUAUCUUAAAAGCUGUUUUUUUUUCUUUUCUUUUUUUAUGUGCGUUUCCUUUUUUUUAUGGGGCUAUAAAAGAAAUCGUGCUCUAAUGUGUCUGUAUGUGUAUUGACCCCUACAGCCCUCCUGUACACCGGAGAGAUGCGAGUCUGCCCAGAUCAGAUGAAGAGGAUGAGGUGGACAGAGAUGGGGGGCAGGCGCCGAGGCAGAUCAACUGCGAGGGCUCGCUGGCAGAGAGCUCGUCAUAAUCCACAGCCUGUCAACCUUGGUUUUUCAGUGACACCAAUCGCACAACAGGGACACAGUUCUUUUCUGCUAACUUUAUUACUCUUUCCCAGCCAACAAGAACAGAAAUGAGGCACACAAAGAAUGCUUUUUGUUGAGUAGGUUAGCUUGGGCAUUUCAUUAUCCUCAUUGUGGCACACCUAAUAACAUCAUAAAAUUAUUUUGCUUAAAUUAUGCUUCUUUUAAGUAUUAUUUGAAAGAAUAUUAAAAUGAAGGACUAUCAGAAGAACCUUUGUGCUGCUGCUUUAUUUAUAAGAGCUGCUUUUCAGGCAUAUUUAAGCACCCCUCUGCACUUUUCUGACUUUACAGAUAGCUCUGCCAAGAGGAUUUAGAUAAGCCUGCUUUGGUUUUGGACUUCUUCAAGAAGGUCUGACCAACUAUUAAGAUUAUUCUUAUCUUUUCCAUUAAUGUAGACUACUGCAGUGGGAGGAAUUAACCUCUUUUUAAUUAAUUAUCUCACUGCCCGUUUACAUAUGGCUCUUGUUGCAACUUGAGAUAUUCAUAAUUUUAAGAAUGUGAGGUUAGCUAAUUAUUGCUGACAGGAAAAAAAAAACAGACAAAACUAAAACCAAGCUGUUAGGGUUUUAAAGAUGACCUAUGUUGGAAAUUCUGAGAAAUGGAGUUAAGUUAAGAUUUCAAUGUGCAUUGAUAGUUUAAAUGGAUAUAUACUAUGUUGAAUCAAAUGCUUUAGAUGCAACUUAGAUAAAAUUGAAUAAAGCUACAAGUAUUUUAUUGAGAUGAAGUUUGCUGUAUUUUUGUGCUACUUGAAGUUCAAAGGGAAUGCAUUUUUUUGUUGCUAAUAUAGCUUCUUUAAAUAAUAUCCCACAGGAGAUUAUUCCAGUUUUUGGAUAUAUAAUAAAAUGAAGUCUGUUCUGAUCUCUCCGUUGCUGAUUUUACUACUUUAAAAGUGUACGAUGAAGAUGAUCUUUAGAGCAUUUUGGGCAAAUUGGCUUAAGCAAAUAAUUCCAUACCUUUUUGCUAUUUCAGGGUGCCAAAUAUGACAUGGAUUAUAUUCUUAUAAAUAGUUAAUGUUUGCAUAUGAGAAAAGUUUGGGUUGGGAAUGUAAAAGCAGCCCUUAAAAUCAUAUUCCUUUCUUUUAUAUUGAGGCUCUUUCUCAAAGCUGUCAUUUUGAAUGUAAUUUAAAGGAUCAUUAGAGCCAUAUGUUAAAAUAUCAGCAGCAGGAUUUGAAAGAUUCUUCCUUGUGUUGGGCUUUUUUCAUUCAAAGUACUGCCAAAAUACCUUUAAUUAAAACCACUCUGCUCAUAAAAUGUAAUACUUGUAUGUAAUUUCAGAUGCACAGAGGUAUGAAUUGAUUUCUUAUUGGCAUUUUUUUUCUUUUCAGGCACAUAUGAAAAUAACUGAAUACUUCUUUAUUUAACCUUGAUAAUGAUAUCCUUAGUGUGAUGUAAUGGAUUUUAAUGUAUGGGCUUUCUGCUCAUGCGAAGAAAAGCUUGAAGUGUCUGUCUUACUAUUAGCAUAUUAUUUUCUCAGUUUUCUUUUCUAUGCUUCAGACAUGAAUAUUAAUGUGGAACACAGGAAACUUUGAUGUCAGUUUUUCAGAAUAGACUUGUUAAAUGAAGAAGAAGAAGAAAAAAACCUCCAAGUUGGAGUAACUGACUUUACCAGAUAAUACUUCAAAACUUUGCACUUCAUCGUAUCUUUUUAAAAGGCUUGUCUAUUUUCAUUAUUGAACAGAUUGCCACAUGUUAUAUGCGUGAUCUCAGAGGGAUUUUUUUUUUUUGGCAAAUAAAUUCUGCUGUUUACAAAAAUCUG
ensembl:lncRNA